rnacentral:rRNA from 1 species
AAUUCUAGAGCUAAUACAUGCUGUCAAACCUGACUUCUGGAAAGGUUGUAUUUAUUAGAUAUCAAACCAUCAUUGGUGAUGAUUCAUAGUAACUGAUCGAAUCGUAGUCCGCUACGAUAAAUCAUUCAAGUUUCUGCCCUAUCAGCUUUCGAUGGUAGUGUAUUGGACUACCAUGGCAGUCACGGGUAACGGAGAAUUAGGGUUCGAUUCCGGAGAGGGAGCCUGAGAAACGGCUACCACAUCUACGGAAGGCAGCAGGCGCGUAAAUUACCCAAUCCCAAUUCGGGGAGGUAGUGACAAGAAAUAACAACUCGGGCGGCGCAAGCCGUUGCGAGAUUGCAAUGGGUACAAUUUAAAACACUUAACGAGUAACAAUUGGAGGGCAAGUCUGGUGCCAGCAGCCGCGGUAAUUCCAGCUCCAAUAGCGUAUAUUAAAGUUGUUGCAGUUAAAAAGCUCGUAGUCGAAAUUCUGGCUGGUCCUGUUUCUGGCUUCUGUCGACUCAGGACCUAGUCAUCCGUCGGAGAACCCUUGUCGUCCUUCACUGGUCGCUUGGGGGAACUGACCCUUUACUUUGAAAAAAUUAGAGUGUUCCAGGCAGGCUCUCGCCCGAAUACUCCAGCAUGGAAUAAUGGAAUAGGACUUUCUUCUAUUUUGUUGGUUAUUAGUAGAAAGUAAUGAUUAAUAGGGACAGUUGGGGGCAUUCGUACUUAAUUGUCAGAGGUGAAAUUCUUGGAUUUAUUAAAGACGAACUAAUGCGAAAGCAUUUG